rnacentral:lncRNA from 1 species
AUGUCCCUCCUCCUGCUUUCUGUUGAUAUAAUUCCGCUGGAUGGCGCUGUCACAUCAGGGACCUGGCACUGCUUAUUGACAGCUGCUAUUUGGAAUUCUCAUGCUUCUGAUCGUGCUGAAAGUCCUGCCUCUCCCAUUUCCUCAUUGGUUUAUAGAAGCAGGUACACACAUAGUAUUGUGGUAAUACUAUGAAAGUAUAGAUGCUGAUCACCAUAUAAGUUCAAAGAUGAAAAAGCCUGGAAGGAGGAGAGAUGACUUGAAACGAUUCGGUUGGCCGUUUUAUGUGUGGAUUAAUUGUCAGAGUAGAGGACCUUGUGCAUUUCAGGUAAAAUAACAACUCAAUGUUUAUAUCCCAGGACCAAUUAGCUAGCAACAGCAAGCUAGCUAAAUAACACAAAUUAGCUAGCAAGUGCAAGCUAACUAGCUGAAUUGCCAUAAAUGUUUAAUGCUUUUCGACCUGUCCCCAAAUGAAUGUCAUUGGUUCAGAGUUUUUGAUAUUUUAACCUGCGUGCCGUGAUAGCGUUUGGUGUAGGGAGACAAAACAUUUAUGCACGAUGGCGCACGCAGCCGGUUUGGUGGACUUAGGAGUGUUUUAACAUGCAUCUUUCCUACAACGACCGAAUAUGUAACUUGUGUUUUCCAAAACGCCACUCGAGAACGUACGCUAAAAAGUGCAUUGUUUAGCCAUAUGUCGAUACUCUACUGUGUAGCACCCACUUGAGUGAUGCUACACUGCCGCUGAAAACUCACGAUACAGGCGAUUGUAUUAGAAUUUACAUUCAUUCUCCAUUCUUUACAUUUACACCUUUGGCUUAAAUUCAUAUCAUUCGCAACUCCAACAGCUUAUUUGUUUCUUCUUCUGACAACAGGCGUUGUCUUUUCACCCAGGUACACACACUCCUGGGAGAUGACAGCAUGGGUACUAAUUAUCCUAUUUAAAUAUGUGACAGCCAGCAAGGUGCAGAAUACACACCAAGGGAUUGUUCAGUAGAGCACUAUGAUAAGGAUGUUGCAGAUACAGUUGAAACUAAUUUUAAGUGCAUGUCUAGUUCACAAUCAGUCAAAUAACAAACACCAUCAUUGUUCUUACUCCAGAUAUCUGCAGUCUUGUUUAGUGCACACAUUCAAGACAGCCCCAUGCCAUUUUUCAGGAGUCAGAUGUAUCUGGUAGAAAAACACACAUUUGUGACUUCACUCUCUAUUUUAUAUUAUCUCAAGUUUUUCUGUACUUUACCAUGGCCAUCUCAAAUCAAAUUGUAUUUGUCACAUACACAUGGUUAGCAGAUGUUAAUGUGAGUGUAGAGAAAUGCUUGUGCUUCUGGUUCCCGAUAGUGCAGUAAUAUCUAACAGUUCCACAACAACUACCUAAUUAAUACACACACAUCUAAAAGGGGUGAAUGAGAAUAUGUACAUCUAAAUAUAUGGAUGAGCGAUUGUAGAGCAGCAUAGGCAAGGUGCAAUAGAUGGUAUAAAGUACAUACAGUUGAAGUCGGAGGUUUACGUUACACCUUGUCAAAUACA